GCGUAAUUGGUUUAGUGGUAAAAUUCUCCGUUGCCAUUCAGUUUCGGGGAGCCCUGGGUUCGAUUCCCAGAUUACGCA
rnacentral:tRNA from 1 species